rnacentral:rRNA from 1 species
GACGAACGCUGGCGGCGUGCUUAACACAUGCAAGUCGAACGGAAAGGCCCUGCUUUUGUGGGGUGCUCGAGUGGCGAACGGGUGAGUAACACGUGAGUAACCUGCCCUUUACUUUGGGAUAACUUCAGGAAACUGGGGCUAAUACCGGAUAGGAGCUCCUGCUGCAUGGUGGGGGUUGGAGAGUUUCGGCGGUUGGGGAUGGACUCGCGGCUUAUCAGCUUGUUGGUGGGGUAGUGGCUUACCAAGGCUUUGACGGGUAGCCGGCCUGAGAGGGUGACCGGCCACAUUGGGACUGAGAUACGGCCCAGACUCCUACGGGAGGCAGCAGUGGGGAAUAUUGCACAAUGGGCGGAAGCCUGAUGCAGCAACGCCGCGUGCGGGAUGACGGCCUUCGGGUUGUAAACCGCUUUCGCCUGUGACGAAGCGUGAGUGACGGUAAUGGGUAAAGAAGCACCGGCUAACUACGUG